rnacentral:lncRNA from 1 species
AUAACUUUUCAAAAAAAGAAAGAAGAAAAAGCCCGCUAAGUCAAACACCGCAAAAAAAAUGACUUAGGCAAAAAUCAGGGCAUUUCGGUGGACCAAAGGCUUCAAAGAAGCGGUCCAGACAAAAUUAGGGAUAAAGAAAAACAAAAAUAGAGGCCCUCAACAAAACAAAGCAAAAUAAGGUGACUACCAUUUUUAAAAAAUUAGUCUUGAAUCCUCA